UUUCAAACCAUAAAGAUGAGGGCUGUCCCCUAGGGAUGGUAGAACUAAGAGCCAGAAAAGACUAAGUUCUCGAUAAUCAUUUGGAACUGCAAUAGUGGUCCUGGACUACCUAUCUCUAGACUUCUUUUACAUAGGGAGAAAUAUACUUCUCUGUGAAGCCACAACCUUUUAGGAUUUUCUGUCACUUGCAGGUGAAUAUAAAUCUGUUGGAUACAAUAUUGUGUGCAUGGUAGGUGGGCCGUCAGUGGUGAGCCGGGGCUGCCAUUCAGAGAGGUGGUAGCAGCUCUCCAGACUGAAAAGGAUCUGGAUGGUUUCAGUGAUGGAGGCAGCAGAUUAUCUGGGCUGAGCUCAAAGUCCCAUGCAAAUGAAGGUAGGCUAUCCAGAGACAGGCGGAGCCAGUGGCCUAUCUUUAAGAAGGAAAACAUGGAAGGGGUAGAGAAGUUAAAGCACUCACCGAAGAUUUUUCCAGCUAUUACGUGAGUGGCCACCCCAGUUCUGUCCAACACUGCAGCCACUGGCCAUGCCGGGCUCUCAAGCACCUGAAAUGUGCCUUGUCAUAAUCAAGAUACGCUGUCAUUGUAACAAACACACUGGAUUUUGAGGAUUUAGAGUGAAAAGGAAUGCAAAAUUGCCCAUUAACAAUUGUUUUACUAUUAACUAUAUGUUCAAAUGCUAUUUUGGUUACACUGAGGUAAAUAAAAUAUAUUGUUGAUAUUAAUUUUAUCUGUUACUUUUCUUAGAACAUGGCUACUAGAAAAUUUAAAAUCCUGUGCAUGACUUGUAUUAUAUUUCUAUUGGACAGGGCCGGGCUACACAUUUAGAGCCCAUAAUCAUAAACAGCAGGGCUUGCUUUCAUAAUUUUCUUGGAAACUAAGGUAUCAACUCUUUAUGUAUUUUGUCUAGAUUCAAAAUGCUGUAUACAGAGAGCCUUGAAGAGUUGAUAAAUCUAGGGCUUUCUGUUGGAAAGCUGGAAUUUGUUUUCCCCCAAAGGGAAAACAUUAGAUGACAUCAGGCAUAUAUGUACAGGAAUUGAGGAUGGAAGCAGGGGGGUGUCAGUCCGAUAUUAAUAAUUCCGGAGUGAACGUAGAAAGGCAUUCAGCAUCUGAAGAAAGGCCUGCAGUGGAAGCAGGAAAUCUGAGUUUUAGCGUUCCUUCUGCCACUCAGAGGAGGAGCUGAGAAAAAGCACCACGGGUGACAAUGCAAGGUCUGCACACAUGGGAGUCCCCAGGACCAAGUCUCCAAGGCCUGGGGGAGCAAGUGCAGAUGAGAGCAUUUUAAUUCCAAUUUUAUAAGGAAAAACAGAAUUUCCUGAAUAGAAUGCCCCUGAACUCCUUUGAGCAUGGAGCUCACCAAGGUUUAGGAAACUUGUUAAAAAAGCAAAACUAAGACAAAGAACGCCUCAUUAUUGUGGUCAGACUCCUCCCCUCCUGCAUAGGAUUCACUGGAACGUGAAUUACAAUCUAUCAGUUUCACUGUUGUCUCCCCACCAAGAGCCUGCGUGUAUAAUAAACCCGUGGAGUACUCAUACAAGGUGUGAUGAGCAGAAGCGCACAAGAUUAUGUUUAUGGGGCGCCUGGAGGACCCAGAGGCUGAGAGUUAGGGCAGCCUAUAGGAGAAACAGUCUGUUCUCUCUCCGGUCUCAUUUUGCAUUUUGGAGUCAUUAACCCAGACACUACAUUAUUUAACCACGUGAGACGGUCUUUCGGGUCUGAUUUGAAAUCUACAAAAAUGAGGAAGCCAAGGGAUGAAAAUGCAAGGUCAUGCUUUAAGCCUGUGUAACAUUCAAGGGACUUUCUCCCUAGGAAAGAAAACAGUUGGGCUAGUACGCCCUUCAGAUGCUCCAACGUUGAGUUUCCUUUUGUGAAGGAUUUAAACCAGAUUGUUGCUUUUACUUGAGUUGUGCUGAUUAUAAAUACUUAAAUUCCACGACGUAUUUUAAUUUUCAAUGUGCACGAUGUCCAGCAAGGAGAAUUCUGUCCAACAUUUUUUUCCCUGUCCAACACCUAAAGGCUAUUCAUACCAAGUCAGGCCGUAACUCCACAACUGCAUUUCAGCAUAUCUCCUGUUUACCUUGUACAGUAGUAUAGUAAUCUGAAAUAAUUUAUACUAGGUGCUUAUCUAUUAUACUUUAUACAUAAAAAACAAAGACAAUUUAGAGAAAUAACUUACUACAUAUUUUGAACGAAACGCCCUGGGAUGUGGUGGGGUAGAACAACAAAAAUAAAAGAGAAAUUUUUAAAUCUGAAGGGAAUUUUAUCCUGAAAUAUAGAUUUUUAGAUAGAUUCGAAGCAAAGAGGAUAAUGUGUCAUGCUAUCUUUUUUCUUUUGUCACAGCUAUUUUUAAUCUUGAUUGGUUCAGAAGUUGAGGCAUCCUGAAAUUCUACUGGGUCCAGUCAUAGCUGCAUAUACAAUAUACACCCUUCCCUUUGUUGGCUGUAUGGGCAUCUUUUUUCAUUUCUUGAUCUUUUCUCUAGUUGUUGCUUACAACACAUCAUAGUCAGACGAUCAAGAUUUAUCCUCUCGGAAUUUCUCUUAAUAGUUCAACUGCUGGAGUCAGACAAUUGAGUUCAAGUCUCACUUGCAAGCUCUGUGACCUUGAGCAAGUUCACCAGUCUUUCUAAAUCUCAUCUGUUAAAUAGGCAUAAUAAUGGUGCCAACUCACAGGGCUGGUGAGGAUUAAAAGAGAUUAUUCACAUAAUGCCCUUAGCCCGGUGUCUGGCACUCAGUAAAUUGUGACUGUAUUUAUCUCUCCUCUGCCAACCUCACCCUGCCUUCAUACAGAGCCGUGCCUCCAGGGUGAUCGGAAGCCUCAGCACCAGCAUCCCCAGCAGCCUGUAAGAAAUGCUCCACCUACUCAGAAGUCCUCGGGCAGCAUUUAAGGACACGAAUCACCUGACUUCACUGCGGGGAAAUCCUCUCACGGCAUGACUUCCUGUCACAGUAGAAUAGAACCCACGCUCCGACCCAUGACCUACAGCUCUCAGCAUGCUCACUCUAAGAGCUCUGCCAGCUUACAGCCCUCACGUCCUCAUGGUGCCAGCAGCCUCCAAACCUGGUCCUGCGACACAGGAUCUCUGUUGGUUCCUCAUCCUGGGAUGCUUUUCCCAGACCCUCCAUGUCUAGCUCCUUCCUCCCAUUAUCUGACAGCUCUGUGGAAUGCAACCCCACCCACCCAUCAUCACUAUCUCCCAUUCUGCCUUAGUUUCUUCCUUCGUUCUUCCUUUUCUUUUUGACAAGGUCUUGCUCUGUUGCCCAGGCUGGAGUUCAAUAGUGCAAUCAUGGCUCACUGCAGCCUCAACCUCCUUGAUCCUUGAUCCUCCCAUCUCAGCCUCCCAGGUAGCUGGGACCACAGGUGUAAGCCACCAAACCUGGCUAAUUUUUGUUGUUGUUGUUUGCGUUUUUGAGAAAGGGUCUCACUCUGUUGCUCCCUGGGUUCAAGUGAUUCUCCCAUCUGAGCCUCCCGAGUAUCUGGGACUAUAGGCACGUGCCACUACGCCCGGCUAAUUUUUGUUUUUGUUUUUGCUUUUGUUUUUGUUUGAGACUGAGUCUCACUCUGUUGCCCAGGCUGGAGUGUAGUGGUGCAAUCUCCACUCACCGCAACCUCCACCUCCUGGGUUCAAGCGAUUCUCCUGCCUCAGUCUCCCAAGUAGCUGGGAUUACAGGCGCAUGCCACUAUGCCCGGCUAAUUUUUGUAUUUUUAGUAGAGAUGGGGUUUUGCCAUGUUGGCCAGGCUGGUCUUGAACUCCUGACCUCAGGUGAUCCACCCACCUCAGCCUCCCAAAGUGCUAGGAUUACAGGCAUGAGCCACUGCACCCAGCCAGACUUGCUAAUUUUUGUAUUUUUUUUGUAGAGACGGAGUUUCACUAUGUUGCCCAGGCUGGUCUUGAACUUCUGGGCCAAGUGAUCUGCCAAAGUGCUGGGAUUACAUGUGUGAACCACCAUGACUGGCCUGCCUUAGUUUUCUUAGUAGUAUUUAUCCCUGCCUAAAAUUCUCUUCGAUGACUAUUGUCUUACACAUGCAUUUGUUUACUGAUUUCUCUCCUUCCCUAGAACGUACAAGUUCCAUGGAAGCAGAGACUUAGUUGGCUUGUUCACCACUCUAUCUCCAAUGCCUAGAUGGUGGCUGGCACUCAUGAGGAGCUCAAUAAAUAUAUGUUGAAUGAAUGGAUGGAAAAUGGUUGGAUUUGGAGUUUAUAGAAUAUCUCACUAAAUUCUGGUCCUGAGGUCUUUUUUCUCCCACUCCCUCAGUAGAGGCACAGGCUUUUGAGAUGGCCAGCAGGCUGCAAAUGUGACUCCUUAGUCUCUAAGAUUUGUUAGGGUGUCAAUGAUGGAAAUCUAAUGAUACUUCCUGGCUCUAGUAGAAGUCCUUCAGGACGUCAGAAAAUAGAUUUAGGGAAAAGUUGCUAUUGAAUAUUAG
rnacentral:lncRNA from 1 species